rnacentral:pre_miRNA from 1 species
AUAACUUUCGGACCGUCGAUCUACCGAGCAAUUUCACCUGCUUAGAGGACGAUCUUUUCUUUAUCAU